rnacentral:rRNA from 1 species
AACGCUGGCGGCGUGCUUAACACAUGCAAGUCGAACGAUGAAGCCCUGGCUUGCUGGGGUGGAUUAGUGGCGAACGGGUGAGUAACACGUGAGUAACCUGCCCUCAACUUCGGGAUAACCGCGAGAAAUCGUGGCUAAUACUGGAUGUUCACAUGUGCCUGCAUGGGUGUGUGUGGAAAGAUUUUUCGGUUGGGGAUGGGCUCGCGGCCUAUCAGCUUGUUGGUGGGGUGAUGGCCUACCAAGGCGACGACGGGUAGCCGGCCUGAGAGGGUGUCCGGCCACACUGGGACUGAGACACGGCCCAGACUCCUACGGGAGGCAGCAGUGGGGAAUAUUGCACAAUGGGCGAAAGCCUGAUGCAGCGACGCCGCGUGAGGGAUGACGGCCUUCGGGUUGUAAACCUCUUUCAGUAGGGAAGAAGCCUUCGGGUGACGGUACCUGCAGAAGAAGCGCCGGCUAACUACGUGCCAGCAGCCGCGGUAAUACGUAGGGCGCAAGCGUUGUCCGGAAUUAUUGGGCGUAAAGAGCUCGUAGGCGGUUUGUCGCGUCUGCUGUGAAAACGUGAGGCUUAACCUUGCGCCUGCAGUGGGUACGGGCAGACUAGAGUGCGGUAGGGGAGACUGGAAUUCCUGGUGUAGCGGUGGAAUGCGCAGAUAUCAGGAGGAACACCGAUGGCGAAGGCAGGUCUCUGGGCCGUUACUGACGCUGAGGAGCGAAAGCAUGGGGAGCGAACAGGAUUAGAUACCCUGGUAGUCCAUGCCGUAAACGUUGGGCACCAGGUGUGGGGUCCAUUCCACGGGUUCCGCGCCGCAGCUAACGCAUUAAGUGCCCCGCCUGGGGAGUACGGCCGCAAGGCUAAAACUCAAAGGAAUUGACGGGGGCCCGCACAAGCGGCGGAGCAUGCGGAUUAAUUCGAUGCAACGCGAAGAACCUUACCAAGGCUUGACAUACACCGGAAGCGUGCAGAGAUGUGCGUGCCUUAUGGGCUGGUGUACAGGUGGUGCAUGGUUGUCGUCAGCUCGUGUCGUGAGAUGUUGGGUUAAGUCCCGCAACGAGCGCAACCCUUGUCCUAUGUUGCCAGCGGGUUAUGCCGGGGACUCAUAGGAGACUGCCGGGGUCAACUCAGAGGAAGGUGGGGAUGACGUCAAAUCAUCAUGCCCCUUAUGUCUUGGGCUUCACGCAUGCUACAAUGGCCGGUACAAUGGGUUGCGAUACCGUGAGGUGGAGCGAAUCCCAAAAAGCCGGUCUCAGUUCGGAUUGGGGUCUGCAACUCGACCCCAUGAAGUCGGAGUCGCUAGUAAUCGCAGAUCAGCAACGCUGCGGUGAAUACGUUCUCGGGCCUUGUACACACCGCCCGUCACGUCAUGAAAGUCGGUAACACCCGAAGCCGGUGGCCUAACCCUUUGGGGAGGGAGCUGUCGAAGGUGGGACUGGCGAUUAGGACG